rnacentral:lncRNA from 1 species
CGGCGUCAACCCGCUGCACAGCCACCCGCGCGCCGCCGAGCUCGUGCACGUCGUCGCCGGCCAGAUGCUCGUCGGCUUCGUCAGCACGGCGGGGACCUUCUACUCCAAGGUGGUGCGGGAGGGGGAGAGCUUCGUCAUCCCGCGCGGCCUGGUGCACUUCCAGUUCAACACCGGGAAGGAGGCCGCCAGGGCGGUGACCGUGUUCAACAGCCAGCUCCCCGGCGUCGUGCUCGCCGCGCCGUCGCUGUUCGGGGCGGACCCGGAGAUCCCCGACGCCGUCCUCGCCAAGAGCUUCCAGGUCGACGGCGAGAUCAUCAAGC